rnacentral:rRNA from 1 species
GUUGAACGCUGGCGGCAUGCCUUACACAUGCAAGUCGAACGGCAGCACGGGAGCAAUCCUGGUGGCGAGUGGCGAACGGGUGAGUAAAGUAUCGGAACGUGCCCAGUCGUGGGGGAUAACGUAGCGAAAGUUACGCUAAUACCGCAUACGAUCUAUGGAUGAAAGCGGGGGAUCGCAAGACCUCGCGCGAUUGGAGCGGCGAUAUCAGAUUAGGUAGUUGGUGGGGUAAAGGCUCACCAAGCCGACGAUCUGUAGCUGGUCUGAGAGGACGACCAGCCAAACUGGGACUGAGACACGGCCCAGACUCCUACGGGAGGCAGCAGUGGGGAAUUUUGGACAAUGGGCGAAAGCCUGAUCCAGCCAUGCCGCGUGCAGGAUGAAGGCCUUCGGGUUGUAAACUGCUUUUGUACGGAACGAAAAGGUUUGGCCUAAUAAGCUGAGCUCAUGACGGUACCGUAAGAAUAAGCACCGGCUAACUACGUGCCAGCAGCCGCCGUAA